AUGCAUGCAUGCAUGAAAAAUCGCAUGCAAGUUUUGGGUUUAUCACUAACUCGAGAAGGAAUUUUUCCCAGCAAUUUUUUUCUCAACUUUGGGGACAUUUUUGGAGCUCAAAUAAUUUUGUAGGGACUUCAAAAUUGUAAGUAUAAUUAAUUGGUAACACGAAGCCUUCAUAGCAUCAGUUUUUAUUGAAUUGCGUUAACCGAAUAAGAAUUUACAAGCUUGCAAAAAGGGGU
rnacentral:lncRNA from 1 species